AGUCGAGCGGUAACAUUUCAAAAGCUAGCCUUCGGGUGAGUAUAGCGGCGGACGGGUGAGUAAUGCAUGGGAAUCUGCCCAGUAGUGGGGGACAACAGUUGGAAACGACUGCUAAUACCGCAUACGCCCUACGGGGGAAAGUGGGGGACCUUCGGGCCUCGCGCUACUGGAUGAGCCUAAGUCGGAUUAGCUUGUUGGUGAGGUAAAAGCUCACCAAGGCGACGAUCUUUAGCUGGUCUGAGAGGAUGAUCAGCCACACUGGGACUGAGACACGGCCCAGACUCCUACGGGAGGCAGCAGUGGGGAAUAUUGCACAAUGGGCGCAAGCCUGAUGCAGCCAUGCCGCGUGUGUGAAGAAGGCCUUCGGGUUGUAAAGCACUUUCAGUUGUGAGGAAAAGUUGGUGGUUAAUACCCAUCAGCCGUGACGUUAGCAACAGAAGAAGCACCGGCUAACUCCGUGCCAGCAGCCGCGGUAAUACGGAGGGUGCGAGCGUUAAUCGGAAUUACUGGGCGUAAAGCGCACGCAGGCGGUCUGUUAAGCUAGAUGUGAAAGCCCCGCGCUCAACGUGGGAGGGUCAUUUGGAACUGGCAGACUAGAGUUUUGGAGAGGGGAGUGGAAAUUUCAGGUGUAGCGGUGAAAUGCGUAGAGAUCUGAAGGAAUACCAGUGGCGAAGGCGGCCCCCUGGACUGAUACUGACACUGAGGUGCGAAAGCGUGGGUAGCGAACAGGAUUAGAUACCCUGGUAGUCCACGCCGUAAACGAUGUUCUACUAGCCGUUGGGAGACUUGAUGUCUUAGUGGCGCAGCUAACGCGAUAAGUAGACCGCCUGGGGAGUACGGCCGCAAGGUUAAAACUCAAAUGAAUUGACGGGGGCCCGCACAAGCGGUGGAGCAUGUGGUUUAAUUCGACGCAACGCGAAGAACCUUACCAAGUCUUGACAUCCUGCGAACUUUCUAGAGAUAUAGACUUGUGCCUUCGGGAACUCUGUGACAGGUGCUGCAUGGCUGUCGUCAGCUCGUGUUGUGAACUGUGGGGUUAAGUCCCGCAACGAGCGCAACCCCUAUCCUUAUUUGCCAGCGCGUUAUGGCGGGGAUCUAAGGAGACUGCCGGUGAUAAACCGGAGGAAGGUGGGGACGACGUCAAGUCCUCAUGGCCCUUACGGGAUGGGCUACACACGUGCUACAAUGGCAGGGACAGAGGGCAGCAAUACCGCGAGGUGGAGCGAAUCACACAAAGUACGUCGUAGUCCGGAUUGGAGUCUGCAACUCGACUCCAUGAAGUCGGAAUCGCUAGUAAUCGUAGAUCAGAAUGCUACGGUGAAUACGUUCCCGGGCCUUGUACACACCGCCCGUCACACCAUGGGAGUGGGAUGCAAAAGAAGUGGCUAGUUUAACCUUUCGGGGA
rnacentral:rRNA from 1 species